rnacentral:rRNA from 1 species
UGGGGAAUUUUGGACAAUGGGCGAAAGCCUGAUCCAGCAAUGCCGCGUGUGUGAAGAAGGCCUUCGGGUUGUAAAGCACUUUUGUCCGGAAAGAAAUCCUCUGGGUUAAUACCUCGGGGGGAUGACGGUACCGGAAGAAUAAGCACCGGCUAACUACGUGCCAGCAGCCGCGGUAAUACGUAGGGUGCAAGCGUUAAUCGGAAUUACUGGGCGUAAAGCGUGCGCAGGCGGUUUUGUAAGACGGAUGUGAAAUCCCCGGGCUUAACCUGGGAACUGCAUUCGUGACUGCAAGGCUAGAGUAUGGCAGAGGGGGGUAGAAUUCCACGUGUAGCAGUGAAAUGCGUAGAGAUGUGGAGGAAUACCGAUGGCGAAGGCAGCCCCCUGGACCAAUACUGACGCUCAUGCACGAAAGCGUGGGGAGCAAACAGGAUUAGAUACCCUGGUAGUCCACGCCCUAAACGAUGUCAACUAGUUGUUGGGGAUUCAUUUCCUUAGUAACGUAGCUAACGCGUGAAGUUGACCGCCU